UGCCCAGUAACGGCGAGUGAAGCGGCAACAGCUCAAAUUUGAAAUCUGGCCCCUAGGGCCCGAGUUGUAAUUUGCAGAGGAUGCUUUUGGCGCGGUGCCUUCCGAGUUCCCUGGAACGGGACGCCAUAGAGGGUGAGAGCCCCGUCUGGUCGGACACCAAGCCAGUGUAAAGCUCCUUCGACGAGUCGAGUAGUUUGGGAAUGCUGCUCUAAAUGGGAGGUAUAUGUCUUCUAAAGCUAAAUACCGGCCAGAGACCGAUAGCGCACAAGUAGAGUGAUCGAAAGAUGAAAAGCACUUUGAAAAGAGGGUUAAACAGUACGUGAAAUUGUUGAAAGGGAAGCGUUUAUGACCAGACUUGGGCCCGGUGAAUCAUCCAGCGUUCUCGCUGGUGCACUUUGCCGGGCUCAGGCCAGCAUCAGUUCGUCGCGGGGGAUAAAAGCUUCGGGAACGUGGCUCCCUCGGGAGUGUUAUAGCCCGUUGCAUAAUACCCUGCGGUGGACUGAGGUACGCGCUCCGCAAGGAUGCUGGCGUAAUGGUCAUCAGCGACCCGUCUUGAAACACGGACCAAGGAGUCGUCUUCGUAUGCGAGUGUUCGGGUGUCAAACCCCUACGCGUAAUGAAAGUGAACGCAGGUGAGAGCUUCGGCGCAUCAUCGACCGAUCCUGAUGUUCUCGGAUGGAUUUGAGUAAGAGCAUACGGGGCCGGACCCGAAAGAAGGUGAACUAUGCCUGUAUAGGGUGAAGCCAGAGGAAACUCUGGUGGAGGCUCGCAGCGGUUCUGACGUGCAAAUCGAUCGUCAAAUAUGGGCAUGGGGGCGAAAGACU
rnacentral:rRNA from 1 species